CAGCCAGACUCCUACGGGAGGCAGCAGUGGGGAGUAUUGCACAAUGGGGGAAACCCUGAUGCAGCGACGCCGCGUGAGUGAAGAAGUAUUUCGGUAUGUAAAGCUCUAUCAGCAGGGAAGAAAAUGACGGUACCUGACUAAGAAGCCCCGGCUAACUACGUGCCAGCAGCCGCGGUAAUACGUAGGGGGCAAGCGUUAUCCGGAUUUACUGGGUGUAAAGGGAGCGUAGACGGCCAGACAAGUCAGAAGUGAAAGCCCAGGGCUCAACCCUGGGACUGCUUUUGGAACUGUAAGGCUAGAGUGUCGGAGAGGCAGGCGGAAUUCCUAGUGUAGCGGUGAAAUGCGUAGAUAUUAGGAGGAACACCAGUGGCGAAGGCGGCCUGCUGGACGAUGACUGACGUUGAGGCUCGAAAGCGUGGGGAGCAAACAGGAUUAGAUACCCUGGUAA
rnacentral:rRNA from 1 species